rnacentral:lncRNA from 1 species
CUUUGAGUUAGGUAUUAUUCUUUUCUCCAUUUUACAGAUGAGAAAGAGAUUAAAUUGUUUGUCCAGGGUCAUGAAACCAGUGAGUCAGAGCUUCUGCUCUUUGCCACUACAUGCGGAAGAAGGAAGGAGAUGUAGAGGAGGGAGGGCCAUCAAUCAAGUCUCUAGGCAAGAUGUUUGCUCUGUCCUCGGGAAAGACAGAAAGGAAGUCCAAGGACCCUGGGCAGUGAGCUGCCCCCACCUGAGCAAAGAACGCAGCAUGCCACCUGGCUUCCCUAACACUUAUACUUAUUGUCACCAUGGUAAUUGGUCCUAAUGGCAUGGAGCUACCUACCCCCUUUUCUUCCUGACUCCAGAGUGAGGCAAACAAAUAUCAGUAUAGCCCAGUGACUCAAAGAAGGGCCUCUGGAUUCAUGCUGCUGUGGUUCAAUCUGAUAGCUUUUUGAGUGAUCUUGAACAUUCAAUCAACUCUCUAGGCCAGUAGUUUUCAAAGUGUGUUCUGAAGAUCCAAGGAAGUCCGUGAAGUCCAAACAAUUUCUGUAAUAACAGCUCUGCAGCUAACUGCCUUGGAAACCACAAAGAGGAGUGCAUAUGUUUAUUUGUUGGUGAUCACAUUGCUGGGUACAGUGGAAAAACAUGUAAGAGCUUUCAAUCUGUUUGGAGAUACAGGACUUGUGAAACAACAUCAAAGCAGGUAAGAUGAAAUGUAAAUUAGAUCGAGUAGAGUAUAAGUGCAAAACUGAACUGAGCAAGACACUUCUGCACUUACAUUUUGUAGGAGUUUGGAGAAAAGGGAGACUGAAACGAGAGAUGGAUGGCAGACUGACUGGGUGCCACGUGUCCCUGAAAUGUCCUAACCAUACUCAAUAAGAGUGUGUGCCUUCUCAGGGAGUCUAUAGGGCAUGUGCCAGGCCCUUAAUAUCUACACUGAAAAUGGCGUGUUCAUUUCCAGGAAUACUCUGGUGCACUUUAACAAAACAAAAACCAAAUUCCUACUUCUGAAAUCCUUUUAUCAGAAAAUGCAGGGAUUUGGAGUCAGCUGACCUGUGCCAAAUCCUGAUUCUGUUACUUCAGUGGCUGUGGGAGCUGGGGCAUGUCCAGUCAGCAUAUGGAAUCUUGAGAUCCUGAUGUGACAAAUGGGGUGGUACUAAUACCAGUCCUGCCUAGACUUGGCCCCCAAUGUAAGGGGAACAAAUGAGAUCGUGUAGGCGAUGCCACUUUGCACAUUCUGAAGCACUAAAUGAAUGUGCAAUGGUGUCACCACAUGGUCUUUUGCCUCUUUUGCCUAUUACAUCUCUACCCCCAUGAUGUUCUGAGACUGGUGGCAUCUGCUCCAGAGAGGAAGCAGGCCUGGAAUAGCCCGGGUAUUUACGGAGGAGAUUGGCAGAGUGUGAGUUGUGAAACUCAGUGGUCUGCUCCAGAUCAUCCUGUUGAGUUCCUCACUCUCAUGAGCACUAAAUUUACUCUCCCCAUUUUUUAAAAAAUAGCUUCAGAAAUUUGCUCUAUUAUGUUUCUCUUCACUUUAUGUUGGGGGGAAUUUGAGAAUACUUCCAUACAAAGGGCUGUUCUUUGACUGAGAAUGAUCCUGUCAGGCAUAUAGCUCACCUCUCACUUGUCAGGCACACGGCAAGAGAAUGACUUUCUCAGAAUUAAUGGCCUUUUCUAAACCCAUUAAAGAAACUCUAAAGAUUAGGGCUGCUGUUCCCAAGCAUGAGGAUCAUUUUAUGUGGAUUGGCCACUUUGAAUAAGCUAGUGACUAGUGGAAGAGUAGCUGUAACCCUGCCCUCUGAAGGCUUGUACUCAUAAUGAGCUCAAAUGUGACCUAAGGACAACUAAACCGGUAAGUCUGAGACUUGAUUACCCUGUAUGUUUUGCAGCCUCCUCCUCUUACUCAGUGUGUGACCUUAGGCAGCUCACUGCACCUCUGUGGGAUUCAGUUUCUGCAUCUGCCAUAGAGGGAUCAUGAGUACCGAUCCUCCAGGGCUGACAUGAAAAUUAAAGAAGGUAGAGUGUCUACAGUGCUGAUCUACGUGAUUGGCAUAUAGGCAACACUCUGCAAAUGUUAGCUGUUAUGACUGUGAUGAUGUUAGGACCUUGUCACAGUGUAAAGGAAGCCAUAUCCCUGACCUCUGAGGGCAUGUGCUCAAAAUGAGAUAAAAUACAGAAAGACAAGCAAUCCAAACGUGGGCAGAAGGGGCAGGGAGGUUGCAUUCAGUCCAGUGGUUUCACCGAACCCUCCUUCCUUUCCAUCUCCUCCUACCAAAAUUGUUAACUUUACCACAGAACAAGACAUUAUUUUAACUGCCUAGAAACCAGGGCUUCUUUCGUUUUUUCCCCAAGUGGGGUGAGGGGGAAGGAAAAGAGAGAGGAAAUAAACACCAGCUGGGAUGAGAAUAUGAAGAAAAGAUAGGUUUCUUUUUUUUCCAUUAAAAAAAAAAGAAUGGGGUAGUGGGGACAGGGAGAAAAAUGUGUUUUGAAUGUGGAGGUACUGUUGCAAAUAGCACAGGCAGUUUCCCAGAGCCGCACUUCUUCCAAUCAUCUCAGAGCAGGCAGUGCUCUGGCCCCAGCCAAUUAUUUAUUUACACAAGAGGUACAGAUGCCAGAGGCAGGUGUCAAAACAAUUAAUAACACUCCCGAAAUGAAUAGUCUCUCCGUAACUCUGCCAGCCCGUGUAGGCUGGCUCCUCAGGAGAGAGCUCCCUGAGAAACUGCUCCCAGCCAGAGCAAUGGUCUGGGUCCACUGCGCAAACAUUCAGUACUGAUCUGUAGCUACACUCUACCGCCCAUUGCGUAUGAGGGUGAGGGCUUGCCUUUUCAAGAGACUCACCUUCAUCCCUUCUUGAAAUACCUAGUACUUCGCGAAAGCUGAAUCUUUGCUCAAAAGUCUUUGAGUUUUUCUAGCCAGAGAAAUGCAGAGGCAGACUGGGGGACUCCAAAGUGGUGGGAACUGCUGUUUCUUGAAGAUAAAUUUGCAGUAAAAUGAAUUCUACAAUUGAGGAUUAAAAGGAUUUCAAAUUUAAAUUGAAUUAAAAUUUUAAAACUUAAUUCACUUAUUUUUCAAAACAACCUUACAAGGUAUACACUACUAUUAUCCCCAUUUCCAGACGAAGAAACCGAGUCACAAAAAGGAUGGAAGCAGCAGCAAUAGGAACAGCAGCAACACAGCCUCGGACCAACUGAGCAUUUAAUUGAACACCUAAUGGAGUGACACUUUGUUUCCUAGGCAAAUUUGGUUGCUAUUAACAGGGAGGUAGUUAUCAUGGUUAAAUUUACUCAUUACAACAAAGUACUAGGGGAGCUUUUUAAUAUUUAUGUGACAAUAAUUGAUCUCUUACCACUGUCAAGUACUGCUAAAGACUUAUCAGCUUGCUGUUUCAGCACCAUAUGUUGUAGCCAAGAUGCACUCCAUGUGUCCUUCCUGUGCCUUGGGGAGAGAACAUUUGCAGUAGAUCAGAAUAGAAAAUGGUAUGGGUUUCAGAAAAGCUGCUUGCUCUCAGCUUUCUCGUCAGUGACCGGGGUAUGCAAGUUGUGACUAUAAAGUAAUGAGACUACCUUCCAAAACCACCCGUGAAAUGAAGCCUCGACCUUUAAUUGUUCUCUUCCCUAGGUUUGAACCAAGAACUGGUCGACCUAAUUAAAGGGGAUUCCUCGUAAAUUCGCCUUGUAUUGCAUUCAACUUAUUUUAAAUAGGGCAUUCUGUGAAAUCUGAAAACCCGCCUACAAUUAAAACACUAACAUCUAUACCAUUUGGUUUUUCUUAAUGAGCCAUGUGCUGAUUUCACUUGUCUUAUUUCAGCAAUAACAAGGAUUAGCACACACAUACCAUAAAUCUCCCAGGAACCUAAGGAGUGGGCUUUUAGAAUUUUUCUUGAGGCAGAUUUCAUUUGAACUUUAUUUAUGGGAGUGAGUGAGCUACUUGGGGAAAGAGAGUUUAACUGUUUCAAACUGUGAGGGUCCCCUUAAGUAAACUGCGUCUGGGAAUCACAGUGUGGGUCAAGGAGCUAGAAACAUUAAGCAUCCCACAGUCAUAUGCAUAGGGAGGCUACCUCAAUAGCUCUGCCUGCCUGAUGAGGUGGGGUUGCAAUGACCCUUGGGUCGUCUGGAGGGUCACAGUUUCAGAAGAUGUGGUGAAAUAAGGCAAGUGUGUUACCAUGACCAUGAUAAUAUUUAUAUUUUAGAAGUAUCUUGAUGUGGUGGGCCUUAAGGAACUGACAUUCACAAGUCUUCCUCCAAGCACACACUGUCUACUAGGUCAAUCACACAAUGAGCUGUUAAUAUUUAAAAUCUAAACACAACAAAAAUUUUUUAAAAAUGGAUCUGUCAAUCACAGUGGAAUGCUAUUUUCCUGGGAUCACUGUGCCACCAUCUUUUCUGGGAUCGAGAAUCUCCUUUUCCGUUCGUUUGUUAGUUUGCUUUUUUGCACCGUUGGAGGAGAACGUUUUCAAAGCAAAUUAAGAGAAAAUUGAAGAAAUGGACCUUUAACCCUUCCUCAGAGCUACUGAUGAGGGCCUGAGAGAAACUUCUCUUUAAAAUCCUCUGGAAAUCUAGAAGCCAUUUGAACAUGUUCAUUAGUGGCCUUUGGCCAAUGAUGUCUGUACAUUUCUUAGACAACUUUUCAUAUAUUUGGAAAAUUCAAUCCAGCCCUAAUGCCACUGUGGAUUAUUUCCUUGGGCUCCUGGAUAUUUUCUGUGCUUCUUCUUCUUUUUUUUGGAUCUG